CUACGGGGGGCAGCAGUGGGGAAUAUUGGACAAUGGGGGAAACCCUGAUCCAGCAAUGCCGCGUGUGUGAAGAAGGCCUGCGGGUUGUAAAGCACUUUCGGUUGGGAGGACUGCUUCUAGCACUAAUAUUGUUGGAAGUUGACGUUACCUUCAGAAGAAGCACCGCUAACUCCGUGCCAGCAGCCGCGGUAAUACGGCGGGUGCAAGCGUUAAUCGGAAUUACUGGGCGUAAAGCGCGCGUAGGCGGCUAGAUCAGUCGGGUGUGAAAGCCCCGGGCUUAACCUGGGAACUGCAUCCGAUACUGUCUAGCUCGAGUACAGGAGAGGAGAGUGGAAUUCCACAUGUAGCGGUGAAAUGCGUAGAUAUGUGGAGGAACACCAAUGGCGAAGGCAGCUCUCUGGCCUGAUACUGACGCUGAGGUGCGAAAGCGUGGGGAGCAAACAGGAUUAGAUACCCGCGUAGUC
rnacentral:rRNA from 1 species